rnacentral:rRNA from 1 species
UACGUAGGGGGCUAGCGUUGUCCGGAUUUACUGGGCGUAAAGCGCACGUAGGCGGAUCGUUAAGUCGGGGGUGAAAUCCUGGAGCUCAACUCCAGAACUGCCUUCGAUACUGGCGAUCUUGAGUCCGGAAGAGGUGAGUGGAACUCCUAGUGUAGAGGUGGAAUUCGUAGAUAUUAGGAAGAACACCAGUGGCGAAGGCGGCUCACUGGUCCGGUACUGACGCUGAGGUGCGAAAGCGUGGGGAGCAAACAGG